UACGAAGGGGGCUAGCGUUGCUCGGAAUUACUGGGCGUAAGGCGCACGUAGGCGGAUUGUUAAGUCGGGGGUGAAAUCCUGGAGCUCAACUCCAGAACUGCCUUCGAAACUGGCGAUCUUGAGUCCGGGAGAGGUGAGUGGAACUGCGAGUGUAGAGGUGAAAUUCGUAGAUAUUCGCAAGAACACCAGUGGCGAAGGCGGCUCACUGGCCCGGUACUGACGCUGAGGUGCGAAAGCGUGGGGAGCAAACAGG
rnacentral:rRNA from 1 species